rnacentral:rRNA from 1 species
AGCAGUCGCCGCGGGAAUACGGAGGGUGCAAGCGUUAUCCGGAUUUAUUGGGUUUAAAGGGUCCGUAGGCGGACUUAUAAGUCAGUGGUGAAAGCCUGUCGCUUAACGAUAGAACUGCCAUUGAUACUGUAAGUCUUGAGUAUAUUUGAGGUAGCUGGAAUAAGUAGUGUAGCGGUGAAAUGCAUAGAUAUUACUUAGAACACCAAUUGCGAAGGCAGGUUACCAAGAUAUAACUGACGCUGAGGGACGAAAGCGUGGGUAGCGAACAGGAUUAGAUACCCCUGUAGUCCCUGUCUCUUUACA